CAGAAAGGAUUUGGUGGUACUGGUUUUUAUGUAUGUGUGUGUUGUUUUUUAAAAAAAUUUUCUCCAAGGGACCUGGUCAAAGAUUUCAAGCCUUAAAUCUGAUCAACCCAAUCUGGGGCGGCGGCAGCUCAGUCUCUCCUCCUCGCUGUGCCAAUCUGUUUCUGUGGUGGCGGGUGGCGGCUCGGUGUUAAAUUUGGAGACCCCCGUGGGUUUCCCAUGCCGACCUGCAUAUGUCUGCAGGCACGGGGAAGGGAGGGCCGCAGACCCCCGUUGAGUCCCCGACUGCCAGCAGCAAGUUGCCGCAGGCGCACUGGCUCUGCAGCCCCGGGAUCAAGAGAGAACUCGAUGCCACCGCAACGGUAUUGGCGAACCGGCAGGAUGAAAGUGAGCAGUCCAGAAAGCGGCUUAUCGAACAGAGCCGGGAGUUCAAGAAGAACACUCCAGAGGAUUUGCGCAAGCAGGUAGCGCCGCUGCUGAAGAGUUUCCAAGGAGAGAUUGAUGCACUGAGUAAAAGAAGCAAGGAAGCUGAAGCAGCUUUCUUGAAUGUCUACAAAAGGUUGAUUGACGUCCCAGAUCCCGUACCAGCUUUGGAUCUCGGACAGCAACUCCAGCUCAAAGUGCAGCGCCUGCACGAUAUUGAAACAGAGAACCAGAAACUUAGGGAAACUCUGGAAGAAUACAACAAGGAAUUUGCUGAAGUGAAAAAUCAAGAGGUUACGAUAAAAGCACUUAAAGAGAAAAUCCGAGAAUAUGAACAGACACUGAAGAACCAAGCCGAAACCAUAGCUCUUGAGAAGGAACAGAAGUUACAGAAUGACUUUGCAGAAAAGGAGAGAAAGCUGCAGGAGACACAGAUGUCCACCACCUCAAAGCUGGAGGAAGCUGAGCAUAAGGUUCAGAGCCUACAAACAGCCCUGGAAAAAACUCGAACAGAAUUAUUUGACCUGAAAACCAAAUACGAUGAAGAAACUACUGCAAAGGCCGACGAGAUUGAAAUGAUCAUGACGGACCUUGAAAGGGCAAACCAGAGGGCAGAGGUGGCUCAGAGAGAGGCGGAGACCUUAAGGGAACAGCUCUCAUCGGCCAAUCACUCCCUCCAGCUGGCCUCACAGAUCCAGAAGGCACCAGACGUGGAGCAGGCCAUAGAGGUGCUGACCCGCUCCAGCCUAGAAGUUGAGUUGGCCGCCAAGGAGCGGGAGAUCGCACAGCUGGUGGAGGACGUGCAGAGACUCCAGGCCAGCCUCACCAAGCUGCGGGAGAAUUCGGCCAGCCAGAUCUCGCAGCUUGAGCAGCAGCUGAGCGCCAAAAACAGCACACUCAAACAACUGGAAGAAAAACUCAAAGGCCAGGCUGACUAUGAAGAGGUGAAGAAAGAGCUGAACAUUCUGAAGUCCAUGGAGUUUGCACCGUCCGAGGGCGCUGGGACACAGGAUGCGGCCAAGCCCCUGGAGGUGCUGUUGCUGGAGAAGAACCGCUCGCUGCAGUCCGAGAACGCCGCACUGCGCAUCUCCAACAGCGACCUGAGCG
rnacentral:sRNA from 1 species